ensembl:lncRNA
UCUGCAAACACAACUGUGGUGGUCUGUUGAGGUGAACUUUCUCCUGAUGAUAGCGGAUGUGGGAAUGCGUUGUCUCUUAUUGGGGAACAUUAUUGGGGAAAGUGUGAGUAAUCUAUUGUCUUCCAAUACAAACUGUGCUGAAGAGCUUCAAGACACUUUAAAUGUCUUACCUCAACACCAACAACACCAAUCAGGUUUAUAGUUAGGGCAGGCUCAGGUUUAUAGUUCAGGUUUAUAGUUAGGGCAGGCUCAGGUUUAUAGUUCAGGUUUAUAGUUAGGGCAGGCUCAGGUUUAUAGUUCAGGUUUAUAGUUAGGGCAGGCUCAGGAUUAUGGGACAGACCUUUUUUUGUAAAGCCCUCUGAGACAAAUUUAUGAACUGGGAUUUUGGGCUUUUCAAAAUCAUUUUGAUUUAAUUUAAUCUGUAGCUCUCUGGACAUAUUGUCGAUACUUCAAUCUCCUCAAGAUCUGCUCAAGUAUUACCAUACUGUACAUGUAUAUCACCCCGAACAUGCUGCUCUGAUCCUAUAACGAGUAAGGCCAGCUCGUAAAUUAUCGCAUUUGAACAGGAGAUAACUGACUGUUGACUGAUUGGUUCAUACUAAAUAUAUAUGUAUUUUGGGUUGGGGGCAAAUAUAGGUCCUACAGGACUUGGACAAUUCAUGGAUAAUUUGAUCACAACGUAGAGUAUGAAUAACCGUUGUUGUUGUCGUCUUUAAAAUAUUGAUUAAUGUUUAAUAUUUAUAAAGAAAGGUGGAUUUUAUCUGCAUAACUACAGAUGUUUUUGUAUUUUAGACAAACAAACAAACAAAUACAAAACAUUUAUCAAUGUGAAAAUAAAUAAAAGUCCCCCCCCCUCUGCCUUACCAGCAGUGGCUCUGAGCUUCCCCCCCAGUCAUUUGAGCCACUGUAUGUUCUGGUUAGUGGACCUGAAUGAGCUCCAGCGGAGCAUCUUCACGCUCAACAUGUAUUGAUCAAGCUCUCCAGAUCGCAGGAACAUUAACAACCCAAGAUGUUCAAACCAUCACUCAUUACACUACGUGUAAACUGAUGAACCAAUUAAAUCGCUGCAAGUUGAACAAAGUGAGACAUCUCCCUCCGCCCGCCACCAUCAAAUGUAUGAGGGCCUUUUUGUUCACCUCCAUUCCUCCUUCCGCUGCGGAGAAAGCACUGAGGAACUUCUCUUAACCCGACUUGCUUCCAGCGAAGAGGAUGGAAUCUUCUGAUCCCUUGGCGGCUGGAGAAGAGCUCAGUUCGGUCAGAGGGCCGUUUGGUGGAUGUCAGGGGCCCAACACCCUGCUAUAGGAAGGCAGGAGCACCCUGAGGCUCUCCCUGUACCAACGGGCUUUAACAUGUGCUUUUUGUCUCUCACUCACGUGUGGAUAUACAACCUUGACUUAUAAACCUAGCUGAGCAGCACACCACUGUUCAGGAAAGCUUCUUUAAUGGGAUUUAGUAAGGCCGUCCCUGGAUUAGCAGGGGGAAUCUUUACCUUUCCCUUGUCUACGGUUUUGUAAUUAGUCCCUUAUGUUUAAAAGA